rnacentral:misc_RNA from 1 species
GUGUUAUAUUUGUUGGCCAGUGACGGUCCAACGAUAUAUCUCACGUUCAUACAAAUCCAUACGAGUUUGUAAUUAACCGGAGAGAGAGAGAGAGAAAGAGUGGAGAGUGAGAGAGUUAUAUGCAAAGCACAUGCACUCUCUCUCCCUCCCCCUUCUUCUUCUUUCUUACUCCUUAGAACAGUGCACACGGGUUUAUGGAUGUAUAGUGGAUGCGAGCCGCCAGAGACACACUUAUUGUACGUCUGUAUGGCUGGCCCUUGAAUCUUCACUAAUGAUCCUUCUGCAGGUUCACCUACAGAAA